rnacentral:rRNA from 1 species
GCUGUCGAAAAUACUGCAUAGCUAGGGAGUGGGAGAGGUAGACGGUACUCGGUAGGAAGGGGUAAAAUCCUUUGAUCUAUCGAUGACCACCUGUGGCGAAGGCGGUCUACCAGAACACGUUCGACGGUGAGGGAUGAAAGCUGGGGGAGCAAACCGGAUUAGAUACCCGGGUAGUCCCAGCUGUAAACUAUGCAAACUCAGUGAUGCAUUGGCUUGUGGCCAGUGCAGUGCCGCAGAGAAGCCGUUAAGUUUGCCGCCUGGGAAGUACGUACGCAAGUAUGAAACUUAAAGGAAUUGGCGGGGGAGCACCACAAGGGGUGAAGCCUGCGGUUCAAUUGGAGUCAACGCCAGAAAUCUUACCCGGAGAGACAGCAGGAUGAAGGUCAAGCUGAAGACUUUACCAGACAAGCUGAGAAGUGGUGCAUGGCCGUCGCCAGCUCGUGCCGUGAGGUGUCCUGUUAAGUCAGGUAACGAGCGAGAUCCUUGCCUCUAGUUGCUACCAUUACUCUCAGGAGUAGUGGGGCGAAUUAGCGGGACUGCCGUAGUUAAUACGGAGGAAGGAGAGGGCCACGGCAGGU